rnacentral:rRNA from 3 species
GGGUUGUGAGGUUAAGCGACUAAGCGUACACGGUGGAUGCCCUGGCAGUCAGAGGCGAUGAAGGGCGUGCUAAUCUGCGAUAAGCGCCGGUAAGGUGAUAUGAACCGUUAUAACCGGCGAUACCCGAAUGGGGAAACCCAGUGUGAUUCGUCACACUAUCAUUAACUGAAUCCAUAGGUUAAUG